AUUGAACGCUGGCGGCAGGCCUAACACAUGCAAGUCGAGCGGAGCGGCGGACGGGUGAGUAAUGCCUAGGAAUCUGCCUGGUAGUGGUGGAUAACGUCCGGAAACGGGCGCUAAUACCGCAUACUAUCAGAUGAGCCUAGGUCGUAUUAGCUAGUUGCUGGGGUAAAGGCCUACCAAGGCGACGAUCCGUAACUGCUCUGAGAGGAUGAUCAGUCACGGUGGAACUAAGACACGGUCCAGACUCCUGCGAGAGGCAGCGGUAGGGAAUAGUGGAAAAUGGGCGAAAGCCUGAUCCAGCCAUGCCGAGUGUGUGAAGAAGGUCUUCGGAUUGUAAAGCACUUUAAGUUGGGAGGCGUUACCAGCAGAAUAAGCACCGGCUAACUUCGUGCCAGCCGCCGCGGAAAUUC
rnacentral:rRNA from 1 species